rnacentral:siRNA from 1 species
CCCGGGCUUUUGAUACGCUUGU